CAUGUAGAGGUCUUUGUGGGAUUAUUUUUGGACAGGGGUUCGAUUCCCCUCGCUUCCACCA
rnacentral:tmRNA from 1 species